UAAGCGGAGGAAAAGAAACUAACAAGGAUUCCCCUAGUAACGGCGAGUGAACAGGGAAGAGCUCAAAUUUGUAAUCUGGCGUCCCUUGGGCGUCCGAGUUGUAAUCUAUAGAAGCGUUUUCCGUGCUGGACCAUGUCCAAGUCCCUUGGAACAGGGUAUCAAAGAGGGUGACAAUCCCGUGCUUGACAUGACGACCAGUGCUCUGUGAUACGUUCUCUACGAGUCGAGUUGUUUGGGAAUGCAGCUCAAAAUGGGUGGUGAGUUCCAUCUAAAGCUAAAUAUUGGCGAGAGACCGAUAGCGAACAAGUACCGUGAGGGAAAGAUGAAAAGCACUUUGGAAAGAGAGUUAAACAGUACGUGAAAUUGUUGAAAGGGAAACGAUUGAAGUCAGUCGUGUCCGAGGGGUUCAGCCGGUUCAUGCCGGUGUAUUCCCCUCGGAUGGGUCAACGUCAGUUUGGACCGGUGGAAAAGGGCGGUUGGAAUGUGGCAGCUCCGGCUGUGUUAUAGCCUUCCGUCGCACACGCCGGUCUAGACUGAGGAAUGCAGCUCGCCUUUAUGGCUGGGGUUCUCCCACAUUCGAGCUUAGGAUGUUGACAUAAUGGCUUUAACGACCCGUCUUGAAACACG
rnacentral:rRNA from 1 species